CGCCGCCGUCCCCUCCCCCUCUCCCUCUCCGCCGCCGUCCCCUCCCCCUCUCCCUCUCCGCCUCCCUCCGUCCAACCGCAGCCCGCUCCCCCGGCCGGCGCCGGCGGCACCUCAUGGCGUCGCUCUCCCUCUCCCUCCGCGCCAACGCCUCCGCCUCCCCGGCCGCCGCCGGAUCCCGCGCCGCCGCCUCAAUCAAGGCGUCGUGCGUGAGGAGCAAGGUUACCUUCAGCUUACCAUCCAUCAGAGCUACCUCCUCGCCUGCUAGAAGCAUUGAGCCCGUAAGAGCCACGGCCACACAGGCGCCCCCUGCCACCCCUCAAACUUCUAGUGGGGAGAAAACAAAGGUCGGCAUCAAUGGUUUUGGGCGGAUUGGGAGGUUAGUUCUGAGAAUUGCAAUCGAUAGAGAUGAUAUUGAAGUUGUGGCCGUCAAUGAUCCGUUUAUCGAUGCUAAAUACAUGGCCUACAUGUUUAAGUAUGAUUCCACACACGGUCCAUUCAAAGGAACCAUAACAGUUCUGGAUGAGUCAACCUUGGAGAUUAAUGGGAAGAAAGUCUCAGUUACAAGCAAAAGGGACCCCUCAGAUAUCCCUUGGGGUAACUUUGGAGCUGAAUAUGUUGUUGAAUCAUCUGGUGUUUUUACAACAGUUGAGAAAGCUUCAGCACAUUUGAAGGGGGGUGCGAAGAAAGUGGUGAUAUCGGCUCCGUCAGCGGAUGCUCCCAUGUUUGUGGUUGGAGUAAAUGAGAAGAAUUACAACCCUAGCAUGGAUGUUGUCUCUAAUGCUAGUUGUACCACCAACUGUCUUGCUCCUGUUGCCAAGGUUGUCCAUGAGGAGUUUGGCAUUCUUGAAGGCCUAAUGACAACUGUCCAUGCCACAACAGCCACUCAAAAGACUGUUGAUGGUCCUUCGAUGAAGGACUGGAGGGGAGGACGUGGUGCUGGUCAAAACAUCAUCCCUAGCUCUACGGGUGCAGCAAAGGCUGUUGGAAAGGUCCUUCCAGCUUUAAAUGGAAAGCUCACUGGCAUGGCCUUCCGGGUUCCUACACCUAACGUGUCCGUUGUUGAUCUGACCUGCCGACUUGAGAAAAGCGCUUCCUAUGAAGAUGUGAAAGCAGCUAUCAAGGAAGCAUCAGAAGGUUCACUUAAAGGUAUUCUAGGCUACACAGAUGAGGAUGUUGUUUCAAACGAUUUCGUUGGUGACACAAGGUCGAGCAUAUUUGAUGCCAAUGCUGGUAUGGGUCUAAGUUCAUCUUUCAUGAAGCUCGUCUCCUGGUACGACAACGAGUGGGGCUACAGCAACCGUGUCCUGGAUCUGAUCGGGCACAUGGCUCUUGUCAACGCCUAACGAUGACGCCACGAUACGAUUUAGCACAGAAAAGGUCUCCUCGCGUAGUGUAGGAAGUGAAGGCUGCAAUUUUGAUGGCCAUUUUCGAAUCCUGGAAUAAUAAUAAUUCUGUAUGAUGAAAACAAUCAAAUCAAUCGGCGUCGACUUGAAGCUGCAGAACGAUCAUGCUGGUAUGUAAAACCCCACAAUUGAACUGUUGUGGGUGGACAAUAAACCCAAUCCCCGACUCGUCGAGUCAUAGUGCUGUUACUUUGGCCCUGUGGUGGCAUCCGUGUUUUGUUUCCACCUUCAGGGAGGAUAGGAAAAUAUGAUGACGAUGACUCUUUUGUUUGCAGUCUAAAGUUUUGCAAUGCCAUGUUGCUUGUUGCGCUUCGACACGCAGUUGAGAGGACCCUGGAUCGAUAUCUCGGGAAAGAUAUCCGAAUUUCCAAUCCUGAUGAUAUGAUAGAAAUUCAGGAAAGGUGUUCUGGAUUUCAGAUCCCGAUGGUAGGAAUUCGGAUGCCGAUUGGGCGACUCCGGUGACCGGCAGUGUCGCCGUCCUCAUCACAUCCCUUUCCUGCCUUGCCGUCAAGUGGGUUCUCCGGUGGAGGGGCAUCACGUACGGCGGCCACCAAGAUAACCCUGCGAAUCACAUCCGAACUCUCCUGCUUUACCGUGCCAUCUGUUCUGACCGUGACUUCACUGCCUGUCCUGUUCCUAUCUCCAC
rnacentral:rRNA from 1 species